rnacentral:sRNA from 1 species
UAUAAGAUAUAAGUUGUUAUAUUUGUUGAUAUUAUCAGUUUUUACAACAAAUCUCAUAGGUCCAACAUCCUAUAAAUACACAAUAUUUCAUCAAGAAAUAUAUACAUUCUUAUACUCAUUACUCGAUUAUCAUAGAUCAUAAAACUUUCUUACUAAUUUGAGUGGCAGAUAACUUUUUGCAGGUGAAUCUUCUCCUUCUGAACAGUAAGAGUUUCAGGAACAUACAAGCCAUCACUUGGCUCUUGCCACCUAUUGAAAAAUCCACACUCCAAAUUCUGUGAAAGUUUGAAAUGAAGAAACGUUUAAGCAAAGCAUGAGCCACAACACUGAGUAGUGGCCAAUGGAUUUCAAGCACUCUAAGAGGACAUGAAGAUACUAUACGUAACCUUUUGUUUUAUAUAAAUGUAUCGUGUCGUGUUUUCAGAUGAGUGUAACUUUCAGACCUGCUUAAUAUGGCUAUGGGAUGUGAAUAUCAUUUUACGAUUACGUAGACAUCCACACUUACUAGACUGCUUGGUCCCCUCUUUUACGAUUACGUACGGAUCUAUGGAUUAUUCUCUUCCAAUUGUUGCAGGUUACUUCCAAAAUUUUAAAUAUUG